rnacentral:rRNA from 1 species
AACGAACGCUGGCGGCAUGCCUAACACAUGCAAGUCGAACGAGACCUUCGGGUCUAGUGGCGCACGGGUGCGUAACGCGUGGGAACCUGCCCUUAGGUUCGGAAUACCUCCCCGACAGGGGUGCUAAUACCGGAUAAUGUCUUCUGACCAAAGAUUUAUCGCCUUUGGAUGGGCCCGCGUUGGAUUAGCUAGUUGGUAGGGUAAAAGCCUACCAAGGCGACGAUCCAUAGCUGGUCUGAGAGGAUGAUCAGCCACACUGGGACUGAGACACGGCCCAGACUACUACGGGAGGCAGGAGAGGGGAAUAUUGGAAAAUGGGCGAAAGGAUGAAGCAGCAAUGCCGCGUGAGUGAUGAAGGCCUUAGGGUAGUAAAGCUCUUUUAACCGGGAUGAUAAUGACAGUACCGGGAGAAUAAGCACCGGCUAACUCCGUG